AAGAAAAGCAUGGAAGCUGAUGUUAGCAUUCAUUAAAUUCAAUUCAAUUGAUUCUAAUAUCUCUGUCUGAGACCUGGGGUUUUGUUUACUGAUUAAAGUUGCAAAUUUUGUGUGUGUUUUAGGGUUUCUGGUUUCGUUUUUCAUCGAAUUUGAUCUAUUAAGAAGAUGGGUUUUCAAGUUUUGGAGAAAAGAAGAAGAUUUGGGUUUGGGUUUGGGUUUGGGGUUUGUUUGAAAUUGUAUAUUUUUGUUUGUUUGAUGUUUUCAACAGUUGCAUCCAAUGUUGUAUUAAUUGGGCAGAAUGUUACUGUGUCGUUUGAAGAUAUGCAAGCUAACUUUGGUAAGUUUAUUAACUUCUGUUCUAAGUGUUCAUUGAUUUGAAGCUCUUUUGAAUCCUUUUUUUUGUUAAGAAAUUUGAUAAUCUAAAUCAUAGCAUCCCAAUGACUUUGGAAUUUUUGAAUUGUCUCAUAACUAUAUAUACACUUGUUAAAAUCUAGAUAAAAGUUGGGCUGCGAAUUAAUUCCAUGCGCCAAAUGUUUCAUGGCAUUUCUUCCUAGCUAUAUGCCACGGCAAAAAUAAUGUCUGGCUUCUGGCAAAACUUGUUUAAUAGCCCUUCCAAUAGAUGAUUCCUGAUCUAUGAGAAUGACCUUUGGUUGUUUACUGCUCAUUGCUACCAUCCAUGAUUUCAUAACCCAUACAAAAGUUUCUUCUGUUUCUGAAUAAAGUAAAGCACCACCGAACAAUACGGUCUGAUAAUGAUGAUUGAUUCCAAUAACCGGAACAAAUAACAUGCCAUACUUACUUGUUUCAUAUGUAGGAUCACAACACACGCCAUCAUCAAAGUAUUGGUAAUCCAUCCUAGACUUUGCAUCAGCCCCAAAAAAAAUUUGUCAUUCGACUCUCAGGAUCAGUUUGCAUAGUGUAAAAAAAAAUGGGUUCUCCAUUUGUUGUUUGUCGAAGAUGGUUAAGUACGGCUUGUGCAUCCCAAUUAGCGAGCUCCUUUUGUCAUUUUGAAGUUAAAUAAUUAUUUGCAUUUUUUUGUUGUAAAACCAACAUUUUGAAUACCUCUAGCUUCACUAGCCAAAAAACUUACCAUAAGAUUCGUUUUAAUUCCUGUUGUAAGCAUGUUAUCCAUAAUAUGUCCUUGAGCCGAUAUCCUACACUCCUUUGUGAUCGAAGCUUGUGCUUUUUACCAGGGGUCACAAGAGCAUGGUUUUGAGCUUCAAUAAAUUUUGUUACAACAUAUGUUUCUUAAAAAAAAAAUUCGAACAAUCAUGGUUGUCUUACAACCUGUCAUUGUGUCGGCUCUAUUUCUUAUUCUUUCUUCAAAUGGUUUUGCUCUAGGAUUAAUCGUGUCUUUAAUAGAACAACAAAAAGUUCGGCCAACUAUAUCUUUUGUAAUCGUAGAUCUAUUUGUCGUGCUCUUUCGAAUACUAAAAUCCACAUUAGCGGCAUAACGAUUGAAGAAGUUGUAUGCUUAAUCUUCGAGCGAGUUAAACUCCAUCUCAACACAUGGACAUUGUUCAUAUAUAAUAGUUUUAUUCGCCUCAACCUCCUCAAUUGUACCAUCUUGAGAUAUUCAACUCUGGUAAUAUUGGUAAAAGUUUCCUCACUCAUAUUAUAUUGAGUGUUGAUGCCAUUAACCAUGUUGUCUUCACAUGCCAUUAUGGAGCUAUACAAAACAAUGAUAAAAUAAAAGCAACUAGACGAUUAGUAUAAAUAUAAUAACUUAUCACUUAAUACAAAUUACAAUGGAUGAAAACAAGAAGGUUAAAUUGACAAAAAAUACAAUGUACUUUACAUUUUUUCCCAUUUUAUACAAUGUAGAAAUUUUUUGUCCAGAAGAUGCUUAUACUUUCAUUUUUUUUUUCCUCACAUUAUACAAUCUGUUAGUUUUGUGUUAACGGUCUGCCUACGUGUCUAUUUUUUUUCUAUGUGGCUGUAAAUUAAGGUUUUUUCUUUUAUUAUUAUUGAAUUUAAUUAAGAGGUUUGUGAUUAUACUAUGAAAAAAUUAAGGUUUUCUAUUGAAUUCAGUUUGGAGGUUUGUGAUUAUACUAUAAAGAAGUUUGGGGGUUUUGGGUUAAAGUAUGAAUAAACUAGGAAUUCAAUUUUCUAAAAACUUGUUUAUUGCUAUUUGAUUGGAGAAAGAGUUUCAACUUGCAAGAACAAAGAAAAUUUAUACUUGAAGAAGAUGAAGACUUUUGAGGAGAGAGAGAGAGAGAGAGAGAGAGAGAGAGAGAGAGAGAGAGAGAGAGAGAGAGAGAGAGAGAGAGAGAGAGAGAGAGAGAGAGAGAGAGAGAGAGAGAGAGAGAGAGUUUUCUAUUUGGGGAUGUUUACGAAUUGAUUGAGACUUAAAGGGUAGCAAAUUAUUAACACGUGCAAAAUCACUUGCUCAUGAUGUUGUGUUGGAAAUUUGAUUUUUUUUUUAAUAUAUAUUUUUAGUGUGCCACGUAGAAAAAAAAAAUAGACACGUAUGCAGGUCGUUAACACAAAACUAACAGAUUGUAUAACGUGAAAAAAAUGAAAGUACAAGCAUCUUCUAGACAAAAAAUUUCUACAUUGUAUGAAAAAGUGUAAAGUACAUUAUAUUUUUUUGUCAAUUUAACAAAACAAGAAUGAAAAAAACGAAAAUUAAAACAGUUCUCAAAAACCAUGAUACAAAAGAUUUAGGAAAACUUGAUAUAAGUAUAGAUUAAUUUAACUUCAUUAUUUUUACAAUUACAAAAAAAAAAAAGUUGGAUAGUCCAGUUUAGUUUCGAUCGAUAUUUAGAAAAAUAAUAAACAAAAGAAAACAAACUUGAUAGCUUAAACAAUGCAGUUUGUGGUUUCCACCAUUCAGAAUGAAAAAGUUAGUGAAGGAGAAAUGGUGAGCAUAUAUUUAUUUAUUAUUUUUUUUAUUUAGGAAAGAAGAAAGCACAACAACAGAAGAAGGGUUUGAGAGAAAGGAGAAGACGAAGAGUUAGGUUGUGGGAAAAUAAGGAGUUUAGGUUUUUCUGUAAUUUCACCUAUUUUUAAUUAUCUUUUAUUAAUGAAGUGUCAGCGACUUCGCAGGAUAAUGGGUUAGAAGUAACCUGUGAUAGUCGUCCCACUGCUUUUAUUAUAAAAGUGAGAUUUUUUUGUGAUAGAUAACAUUUUAUAAGAAAAAAACACAUUGCUCAAAAUUUCGAAUGGGUCAAUAUCUCGACACUUACAAAAUUCGAGAUCUCGUUGAGAUCUCGAACCUAUGUGUCGAGAUAAACACGAUUUCAUUGAGAUCCCAAACUGAGAUUGUAAGCCCCCUCUUUGACGAGCUUAGCUGAGUUCCUCUCUGCUUCACCGCUACUACCUGCAAUGACCACCGGACAAUGACCGGUGGAUAAAGCUCCAACGAUCAAGUCAGUAAGCGGCUAGGUUUAGAAAAUAGGUUUUAGCAAGGAAUGAAUAGUUACCUUUAGCGAACCCUAACGCUAUCCUUUUAUAGCGAUAUUCACCGCCUUCCUUUAACCGUAGGAUCACCCUAUACAUCCUAUGGUUCUCUCAUCUCCUACGUGUUUCAUUCUCCAUCACAUACUAUAGAGUGAGUGCUUGACGGCCAGACUUCACGUGCCUUAUCCGUGAUACUCUAGAAUGUUCUGUAUUCUGACUGGGUACCUCCCGGUUUGCUCUCCUUAUCUGGUUCCUAUGCCCUCAGUGUUCCACCUGGCACGGCUUGGUACUUACAAAGAUCUAACAAUAAAAAAUUAAAAUAAAAAGUUUUAAGAGAUAACAAAAGCUAUUUGAUGCAUUUUAGGGUUUAAAACCCCCUAAUUUAUGCCAAUAUUACUAUUAUAUGUUUUUAGAAUUAUUAGGGAUUUUUAGGUUUAUGUUUAAUUAGGGUUUUUAGGUGCUUUAGGGUAUUUAUAUUAUAGGGUUAUUUUAAUUUUGAAUUAUGGUUUCUAUUUUAAUUAGAAUUGGUCUAGGUUUAGGUUUCUUUGUUUUUAAAGGAUUGUUUUUCCUAUUUAAAGAGUUGUAGGCCUUUGGCCAAGGAGGUGUUCAUUGGUUAAUUAAAUUGUGUGUUUUGAGAAGAGUCUUCUCGUUGUGUGAGUUAUUGGUUAAGAACAUUAGUUGUUGAAUCCCGAAAAUCGUCGUAGUUCUUGAAUUCGGUUCAAAAUACAUAUCUUUAUGCACGAUUGCAUCACUAUUACUAACCAAAAGUUUCACAAAUUUGAUGAACUCAUGAAUGGCGCCAUUUAAAAGGUAAAGAAGCUCAACCAAUUUCUUCCAAAAGUGGGAUCUAAGUGAAGAAGUACAGAUCAUAUCAAAUAAAGCAAAACCUAUUUGAUGUUGUAAAAUUUGAGAAAGAAUCAAAUAAGAUGUUACCAAUUCAUGAUGAAGACAAAACCCUAGGGAGAAGACCAAAUUCUUUGUUUUGUUUAAGGUUUUGGAAUUGAGAACCAGAUCUCACAAUUCUCGACACUCGGUAUUAAUUUCUCUUAAUUUCUCACGAGAUCUCAUAAUUUCUCAUGCGAUCUCGACAUUUUUGAUAAGCUUGGUAUGAAUACCAUACCGUUUGAGAUCUCAUAAAUAAAUAUCUCAUACCGACCACUCUGAUUUCCGAGAUAUCUCGCGAGAUCUCACGAGAUUUUGAACAAUGAAAAAACAUAUGAUCUUUUUGUCUUAAGAAAAUAUCAUACUUCUAUUUUUUCCCCCAAAAUCAUGAUCUAUUGCCUUUUACACAUUUAAUAAUUGUGAUAUAUUACCUUUUAUGUACUAAAAUAGAAUCUUGACAACCCACUGUAAAACCAUGUUCAGAAACACACAUAUUCAACUAGUGUUGGAAAACUACUCAAUGACAUUAUUCAAACUCGGUAAAUAAGUAUUCAAUAUAUAAAAAGAUACAUUGCAUUACAGAGAUGUAAACAAGGUGUUUGUUUUUUUUUUUUGAUAGAAAAACAAGGUGUUUGUUGGUGAGUCCAUCUUUCAUGUUUUACUGUUUGUGAAUUGUGACCCAGUUUUCCAGUUGAUAUAUUUUUUUGUGAUAGUGUUUCUUUCUCAACACAUUCAACCUUAUAGAAAAAACUGGUUUACAUUACAAUCCUAGCCAAAUAUAAUAGAUCAUCAAAGUAGUACAAUGUCUGAUGACUGCAAUUGACUAUAGUCACAUGUAAAACAAAACUUUGGAUAAUUAAUCAAUCAAUCAAUAAAAUUAUUAUUCACAUAUAAAGAAAGACAGGCAUUUCGCGGUUUGAGAACUUGAGAUAAACAUGGACACUAUGACACCACCGAUCUAACAGCUAGCUUGCUUGAUUGAUUCAUUAGAAUUCUUUAUUUGUUUUUUGUUUUUUAAAAAAAAAAAAAUCUUUUAAUUUAAAUAAGUCUCUUUCUAUGUCUCCUAAUAAAGCUUCUUCACCCACUUAAACUAGAUCAAUCUCGAAACCCUUAUUAGUUAUCUUUUUUUUUUUUUGUUUCAAAUUCUACAAAUUUCUCAAUUGCUCCAAUGUGUUAAUCAAGAAAAGCAUGGAAGCUGAUGUUAGCAUUCAUUAAAUUCAAUUCAAUUGAUUCUAAUAUCUCUGUCUGAGACCUGGGGUUUUGUUUACUGAUUAAAGUUGCAAAUUUUGUGUGUGUUUUAGGGUUUCUGGUUUCGUUUUUCAUCGAAUUUGAUCUAUUAAGAAGAUGGGUUUUCAAGUUUUGGAGAAAAGAAGAAGAUUUGGGUUUGGGUUUGGGUUUGGGGUUUGUUUGAAAUUGUAUAUUUUUGUUUGUUUGAUGUUUUCAACAGUUGCAUCCAAUGUUGUAUUAAUUGGGCAGAAUGUUACUGUGUCGUUUGAAG
rnacentral:lncRNA from 1 species